rnacentral:rRNA from 1 species
UGGACAGAAAGACCCUAUGAAGCUUUACUGUAACUUGGAAUUGAAAUUGGACUUUAUUUGCGCAGUAUAGGUGGGAGGCGUUGAUUAUAAUCUUGUGGGAUUAUUGGAGCCAUCAGUGAGAUACCACCCUUGUAAUGUUAGAUUUCUAACUUUGAAUCAUUAUCUGGUCAAAGAACAGUUUCAGGCAGGCAGUUUGAUUGGGGCGGUCGCCUCCCAAAUGGUAACGGAGGCGUACAAAGGUUUCCUCUGAACGGUUAGAAAUCGUAUCUAGAGUGUAAAGGCAUAAGGAGGCUUGACUGUGAGACCUACAAGUCGAGCAGGGACGAAAGUCGGUCUUAGUGAUCUGACGGUACUGAGUGGGAAGGCCGUCACUCAACGGAUAAAAGUUACUCUAGGGAUA